rnacentral:rRNA from 1 species
GACGAACGCUGGCGGCGUGCUUAACGCAUGCAAGUCGAACGGGAUUUAGUAAACGGAAGCCUCGGUGGAAGAUUACUAAUGAGAGUGGCGAACGGGUGAGUAACGCGUGAGCAACCUGCCUAUGACAGUGGGAUAGCCUCGGGAAACCGGGAUUAAUACCGCAUAAAAUCGUAGAAACACAUGUUUCAACGGUCAAAGAUUUAUCGGUCAUAGAUGGGCUCGCGUCUGAUUAGCUAGUUGGUGAGAUAACAGCCCACCAAGGCGACGAUCAGUAGCCGGUCUGAGAGGAUGAACGGCCACAUUGGAACUGAGACACGGUCCAAACUCCUACGGGAGGCAGCAGUGGGGAAUAUUGCACAAUGGGGGAAACCCUGAUGCAGCGACGCCGCGUGAACGAAGAAGGUAUUCGUAUCGUAAAGUUCUGUCCUAUGGGAAGAUAAUGACAGUACCAUAGAAGAAAGCUCCGGCUAAAUACGUG